rnacentral:rRNA from 1 species
AUUGAACGCUGGCGGCAUGCCUUACACAUGCAAGUCGAACGGCAGCGCGGGGCAACCUGGCGGCGAGUGGCGAACGGGUGAGUAACAUAUCGGAACAUACCCUAGAGUGGGGGAUAACGUAGCGAAAGUUACGCUAAUACCGCAUACGCACUAAGGUGGAAAGUGGGGGAUUCGCAAGAACCUCAUGCUCAUGGAGUGGCCGAUAUCUGAUUAGCUAGUUGGUGAGGUAAAGGCUCACCAAGGCGACGAUCAGUAGCUGGUUUGAGAGAACGACCAGCCACACUGGAACUGAGACACGGUCCAGACUCCUACGGAGGCAGCAGUGGGGAAUUUUUGGGACAAUGGGGGCAACCCUGAUCCAGCAAUGCCGCGUGAGUGAAGAAGCCCUUUGGGUGUAAAGCUCUGUCGGCUGGAACGAAAAAAAUGACGGUACCAGCAAAGGAAGCAUCGGCUAACUACGUGCCAGCAGCC